UGGUUUUGAAAGCCAGGUUAAAAAGGAUAAACUUUGUCUUCAAAGCCAUGAAAUUUUAUAGAUACGGUUUCAGCAGAUGAUAAGGCUAAGCAAAAGCCAUGCCAACAGAACACUCAUGAAAUUAAAAAAGAAGGUCAUCUAUUUACUCAUUCAGAUAGGAGUGCUCUUCCAAAGGCAGAAGUUAACAUAGGCGUAAUAGAAAAUGGCUGGUGAAGAUUUUUAAAAAAGAGGAAAGAGAAAGGAAGUAGAAAAGGAUGAAGAGAUGAAAAGGAGAAAGGAAAAG